UGAAAUGUCAAAUGUGAUUUGUUAUUUCCAUUCUCACAUUACUAAAUGUUUGGUUGGCUCAAAGAAGAUGUGACUUGGGAAGUCUGAGGACAAGAUAGAACUUCACUCUUUAGGGAAAGAAGUCAGAGGUUCAGGAAGGACUAAGGUUUCCAUCUGAAGCUCACAGACUAUCUUUUGGGGUGUGAUGGAGGGUUCCAGAUUGGUUUGGAUAGAGAGUGUGGCUUCUCUGAAGGAGACGGGUCUCUUCUGACUAGAUUCUGAGUCUCAUUCCCAUGUCAGAUGUGCUUCACCCAGCCUUCAUAUUGGGCUGAUCAGGACAGCAGUGCUGACCUCGGAGUAGAGCCUGUAGCCUGAGCUCUGCCCCAGGACACAGGGUUCCCCGGGGGAGCCCAGAUGUGACUGUUGGCCUCAGAUUCUAUGCCCUUCUUCCGCAGAGGGUUUAAGACCAUCAAAUGUGGAAUCUCACAGACAAAAAUGUCCUUUGAAAUUAUCAAAGAAGUAAAAAAUUGAAAAUAUUUCAUUGCCCUUCAAGAUUAAUAAAAGGAAGGAAUACAAUUUCUACUAAUUAAAAAUGAAGAGUUGUCCAAUUCUUGCCUAAUGAAUGUCUAAGCUUGUUAACAAAAGGAGUAAAAGAAAUGAGCCCCAGCCCCUCAUUCUUUUCUUUUUGUUUUCAGCGUCAGGGAACAAAGAGAAGGAGAAAUGGAGUAUCUAAAGGUCGGAGAACUUGCCGGAGAGAAGUAGAGGAGGGGAGGAAGCUGCCUUCUAUUCUGAAAAGUCUCAUGAGCCAGAAUAAUGAUUUCCUCAGCUUUCGGCAACUGUUAUGUAAAUGCCCGCUCUGUGGGAGGU